rnacentral:rRNA from 1 species
CUUUACUGUAGCUUUGCAUUGGACUUUGACGGGACUUGUGUAGGAUAGGUGGGAGGCAUUGAGACCGGGACGCUAGUUCUGGUGGAGCCGACCUUGAAAUACCACCCUGGUGUCGUUGAGGUUCUAACCCAGGUCUGUGAAUCCAGAUCGGGGACCGUGCAUGGUGGGCAGUUUGACUGGGGCGGUCUCCUCCCAAAAGGUAACGGAGGAGUACGAAGGUCUUCUAGGUACGGUCGGACAUCGUACUGAUAGUGCAAUGGCAAAAGAAGGCUUGACUGCGAGACCGACAAGUCGAGCAGGUGCGAAAGCAGGUCAUAGUGAUCCGGUGGUUCUGUAUGGAAGGGCCAUCGCUCAACGGAUAAAAGGUA